AUUGAACGCUGGCGGCAGGCUUAACACAUGCAAGUCGAGCGGAGACUUCGGUCUUAGCGGCGAACGGGUGAGUAACACCUAGGAAUCUGCCUAUUAGUGGGGGAUAACGUGUGGAAACGCACGCUAAUACCGCAUACGUCCUACGGGAGAAAGCAGGGGAUCUUCGGACCUUGCGCUAAUAGAUGAGCCUAGGCCGGAUUAGCUAGUUGGUGGGGUAAAGGCCUACCAAGGCGACGAUCUGUAGCCGGUCUGAGAGGAUGGCCAGCCACACUGGAACUGAGACACGGUCUAGACUCCUACGGGAGGCAGCAGUGGGGAAUAUUGGACAAUGGGGGCAACCCUGAUCCAGCCAUGCCGCGUGUGUGAAGAAGGCCUCGGUUGUAAG
rnacentral:rRNA from 1 species